UACGAAGGGGGCUAGCGUUGCUCGGAAUGACUGGGCGUAAAGGGCGCGUAGGCGGAUGACACAGUCAGAUGUGAAAUUCCCGGGCUUAACCUGGGGGCUGCAUUUGAUACGUGUUGUCUAGAGUGAGGAAGAGGGUUGUGGAAUUCCCAGUGUAGAGGUGAAAUUCGUAGAUAUUCGGAAGAACACCAGUGGCGAAGGCGCUCACUGGACUGGUAUUGACGCUGAGGAGCGAAAGCCAGGGGAGCAAAGCGGG
rnacentral:rRNA from 1 species